UCAUCUAGCCAUUUUCCAAACUGCAUCUCUUUAGUCCAGCAUAACUAAAGUGAAGGUCCAUCCUAGCGGACCAUCAAUUGUGGCACUCAGUAACACUGGGCCAUAUUAGUGUGAUCAGUUGACCUAACAUGCACAUUUUGGGGAUGUUUGUGAAAAUGGGGGUAUGCAAAGAAGACAACAAGAACCGAUCUAGUUCUAUCAACUAACCAAGUGCAAUAUUUUACUUUGACAGAAAAACAAAAAAAAGAGCAAAAAAAACAGGAGGUUGGAUUCUGGCGAGCUCUGGGUACAACAAUCAAGUAUUCUGGUAUAGGAAUCAUCCUUUUCGUUUUGUGCAAUUUGCUGGGUCUGUGCAUCUUCAAUUGGAAGAUGAAAAGUGCCAAGCUCACUCGCUCUAAGGAUGAAGAAGAGUAAAACUAGUCCCCAUGUUUUAGCUGCUCUGGUUAACAAACAG